CCUACGGACUGUCACACAAAUGAUAGUAACUCGAAUUUUAGUGAACUCAGACAGGUUGAACUAGGAA
rnacentral:sRNA from 12 species